rnacentral:rRNA from 1 species
UACAGAGGUCUCAAGCGUUGUUCGGAUUCAUUGGGCGUAAAGGGUGCGUAGGUGGCGCGGUAAGUCGGGUGUGAAAUCUUGGAGCUUAACUCCGAAACUGCAUUCGAUACUGCCGUACUUGAGGACUGGAGAGGAGACUGGAAUUUACGGUGUAGCGGUGAAAUGCGUAGAUAUCGUAAGGAAGACCAGUGGCGAAGGCGGGUCUCUGGACAGUUCCUGACGCUGAGGCACGAAGGCCAGGGGAGCAAACGGG